rnacentral:rRNA from 1 species
UCACACAGCUAUACCACCCUGCAUCCAAAAACCGUUUACUCACUAAAGGGAAGCAUGCAGGGCAGGGCAGUACCUGGAUGGGAGACCACAUAAGAAAACUACAUUGCUUUUGGAA